GGAUGUAGCUUAGUUGGUUAAAGCGCCAGAUUGUGGCUCUGGAGACCGUGGGUUCGAGUCCCAUCUUC
rnacentral:tRNA from 6 species